rnacentral:rRNA from 1 species
AUUGAACGCUGGCGGCAGGCUUAACACAUGCAAGUCGAGCGGAGAGAGGUAGCUUGCUACUGAUCUUAGCGGCGGACGGGUGAGUAAUGCUUAGGAAUCUGCCUAUUAGUGGGGGACAACAUUUCGAAAGGAAUGCUAAUAACGCAUACGUCCUACGGGAGAAAGCAGGGGAUCUUCGGACCUUGCGCUAAUAGAUGAGCCUAAGUCGGAUUAGCGAGUUGGUGGUGUAAAGGCCAACCAAGGCGACGAUCUGUAGCGGGUCUGAGGGGCUGAGCCGCCAAACUGGGACUGAGACACGGCCCAGACUCCUACGGGAGGCAGCAGUGGGGAAUAUUGGACAAUGGGCGCAAGCCUGAUCCAGCCAUGCCGCGUGUGUGAAGAAGGCCUUAUGGUUGUAAAGCACUUUAAGCGAGGAGGAGGCUACUUUAGUUAAUACCUAGAGAUAGUGGACGUUACUCGCAGAAUAAGCACCGGCUAACUCUGUGCCAGCCGCCGCGGUAA